rnacentral:rRNA from 2 species
UUACCAUGCAAGUCGCACGAAACCUUUCGGGGUUAGUGGCGGACGGGUGUAGUAACGCGUAGGAACCUAUCUGGAGGUGGGGGAUAACAUCGGGAAACUGGUGCUAAUACCGCAUGAUGCCUGAGGGCCAAAGGAGAGAUCCGCCAUUGGAGGGGCCUGCGUUCGAUUAGCUAGUUGGUUGGGUAAAGGCUGACCAAGGCGAUGAUCGAUAGCUGGUUUGAGAGGAUGAUCAGCCACACUGGGACUGAGACACGGCCCAGACUCCUACGGG